AUUGAACGCUGGCGGCAUGCCUGACACAUGCAAGUCGAACGAUGAAGCCGGAGCUUGCUCUGGUGAAUUAGUGGCGAACGGGUGAGUAACACGUGAGUAACCUGCCCUUGACUCUGGGAUAACUGCGGGAAACUGUAGCUAAUACCGGAUACGACCCUCGGAGGCAUCUCCUGGGGGUGGAAAGAAUUUCGGUCAAGGAUGGACUCGCGGCCUAUCAGCUAGUUGGUGAGGUAAAGGCUCACCAAGGCGACGACGGGUAGCCGGCCGGAGAGGGUGACCGGCCACACUGGGACUGAGACACGGCCCAGACUCCUACGGGAGGCAGCAGUGGGGAAUAUUGCACAAUGGGCGCAAGCCUGAUGCAGCAACGCCGCGUGAGGGAUGACGGCCUUCGGGUUGUAAACCUCUUUUAGCAGGGAAGAAGCGAAAGUGACGGUACCUGCAGAAAAAGCACCGGCUAACUACGUGCCAGCAGCCGCCGUAA
rnacentral:rRNA from 1 species